rnacentral:rRNA from 1 species
UUGAGAGUUUGAUCCUGGCUCAGAACGAACGCUGGCGGCAGGCUUAACACAUGCAAGUCGAACGAACUCUUCGGAGUUAGUGGCAGACGGGUGAGUAACGCGUGGGAAUAUACCUUUCGGUACGGAACAACAGUUGGAAACGACUGCUAAUACCGUAUGCGCCCUAUGGGGGAAAGAUUUAUCGCCGAAGGAUUAGCCCGCGUUGGAUUAGCUAGUUGGUGGGGUAAAGGCCUACCAAGGCAACGAUCUGUAGCUGGUCUGAGAGGAUGAUCAGCCACACUGGGACUGAGACACGGCCCAGAC